GAUGUGUAUUCUGGACUGCAGGUUGUGCUCCAGAUUUCAAAAAGCUGAUUGAUGUGCAGGUGAUGACAUCACAGACAUCUUUUAUCCUGUGGUCUGGUUUGCAUUUGCUUCCAUUUGAGUUUGAAACACACUUGAACUAUUCCCCAUGAAUCUGUGAGGGGAUUUCCAGAAGCAACUGGAACAUGGCUCAGGAAGGAGUGGAAUGUCCACCCCACAGGCAGCAUCCUUGGAUGGAGCAGGAAAGGAGAACAGGCUCUGGACCCCUUCCAGAGUGAUAUGCAUCCA